GAUUACCUUACUUGCGACAUUGCUUUCAAUGCGGUUAUGCCUCUAAGUCAUGCUUCGACACGUAGGAGAUAUAGCCGCAUCGAGGGCGUUACACCGCAGGCAUUCAAGGAUGGCGUGCCCGAUGGCUCGGAACGCGUGCGCCCGGUGCAUAGGAGGUAUAUGCCUCGGAGCACACUGGCAGCAACGUGCACCGCGAGGUCUCGGAGUAGCCCAGCUAGUAUAGAGCCCCUCCGUACUAGACGGACCCUGCGACUUCGUCCUCGCCUCCACUCACAGUCUAUGCCGAUUUCCACAACAACACUGCCUUCAACUUUCUCAUUUCCCCGGCUCUGCAUACAAGGUGCAAACUAGGUAUGCCAAUCUUGUUAUCGCUUGUUCAGUCACUUUCUGGUUUAUGCCCUUUCACUUGCAUAUGGUGAGGCAGUGUGUGGAAUUUAGGGGCUGGUUUGAACCAAUUACAAUGAUGUAGUGGUGCGGAUCAUUUCAGUCACCGGCUUUAUAUUGUGGUCAGCUUGUUUGUCUUCUUGCUCAUGUAUUCUAAUACAUGAUGUCCUGAUGAUUUGUGAAGUUCUGUGUAUCACAGGAUAAGCUGCACAUCAGGUCGUAUGGCAGCUUGAUUGUUGCUUUUAGGAUGUACAUGUACCCAGGUGGAUCAAAUACAGAUACCGAUCAUAUAUUUUUGUUUACUCAUGUGUGUUUUUCAUAUGUCUGCCAAGCAUUUCGACAAAUUGAUUAUAUCAUUCAGAUGUAUUUAGGCCAGGUUUCUGUGAUCCAAAAAAAUCAUGUGGCAUUGUGUACUAUCCAUGAUGAUCUGACUUUGCUGGCCAGGUCAGAAAUUCAAGUAAUACGACUAUUGCGAUGCAUCUUCCUACGUGUGUGUAUUUAUUUGCAUUAUCAAUAUUUUCCUCCAAAUCAUUUGUUGGUCAUAAAUUAUUUUGCAUUAUUGAUGAUUAAUUUGCAAUUGAAAUGACAACAGGGCCGGGUUUUAUAAGUGUAAUGGGUUCAAGUGUGACCUUCCAGUCAAGAAAUGUCCUCAGCAAGAAGCUUAUGUGAAGAUCCCUUUUCUACUUUGAAUGAAUUUACUGCAUAUAUAUCUUAUUUAGUUUAGUUCAUCAUUCAGAGAUGCAUGGUGGAAUAUUUUUGUCCUUCACAGGUUAAAUGAGCAUUGCGUAAAAGUCUGUCUAAGUCUCUUUCUUAUUCUUCUAUAAACUGGAAGGCAAAUAUAGAUUUCUCACGCAUAGUUUAUCAAUCAUGAUCUCACCUCCUUUCUAUAUGCAGACAGUGUGGUACUCACUGGGGAUGCUUGCAAAUUGUAGUGGAUGUGUGCAGUGAUGGAGGGUUAUGUCCCUAUGGGUGACAGGCAUGGUGAUGUUCACCACUGAUGAAUCAACAAGUGUUCUCCAAAAGGCUGAAGGUGAAUAUCAAGGGCACCGCUCUUUGAUGAUGCGCACCCAUGGUUUGUUCACCACAAUGCAAUGAAAAGAUGUUCUCAAUGGGUAUGUAGUAGGAAUCUCUUGUAGAGUUCAAAACCAGCCUUAAUACCAAUCAUUUAUGAUGUGGUUGUUCUUGUAUUUCAGUAGAACAAAAGAAGUGGAACAAAUGGGUUUAACUUGUAUGCCUACUCCUGUUGCGAUAAACAUUUGGUUUCCAUCUUCAAGACAAGUUUCUGCUUGUGUAACGACAAUAUUGUUUGGGUCGUCCAGUUUUUAGCUAUCAUAUGUUCCAGGAUCAUCCUGACCAUUGGGUUCCUCGUGUUCUCCUUGGUGGUUCUGUACAUUGUCUCAAGAUGCAUUGGCCUGUUGAUACUGCAAAGGAAGCUGGCUGAUGCUAGAGAUCAUGCUCAGUAUCAGCUGAAGACAUCUUGGAAAAAGUACAGGAGGGACCUGCUCAAACAAAUGCUCCUCCCAUCUAUGAUGAACUGUGAUUUUACAUUCAUCCAUUGUUUAUACAUGAGUUUACAUCCAGAAGCAAGCUUACCUCUUAGAGUUCUUAUUUCUUAGUACAUGUUGUCUAAAGUAACAUUUGCCCAAAAAGGCUAUUACUGGUGCGUUAACCUACUGCCGGAAUUGAGCUGAAAUCGAAGUAUGCUUUAUAUUGCAUCCAUCAAGCAUAAAAAGUCUGUAGUCAAACUACAUUUAGUUGGAUGAAGUGUACACCAUCGGUCCUAAGAGUAUUAUGGGUGUGUCAAGC